rnacentral:rRNA from 1 species
GACGAACGCUGGCGGCGUGCUUAACACAUGCAAGUCGAGCGAAUGGAUUAAGAGCUUGCUCUUAUGAAGUUAGCGGCGGACGGGUGAGUAACACGUGGGUAACCUGCCCAUAAGACUGGGAUAACUCCGGGAAACCGGGGCUAAUACCGGAUAACAUUUUGAACCGCAUGGUUCGAAAUUGAAAGGCGGCUUCGGCUGUCACUUAUGGAUGGACCCGCGUCGCAUUAGCUAGUUGGUGAGGUAACGGCUCACCAAGGCAACGAUGCGCAGCCGACCUGCGAGGGGGGUCGGCCACACUGGGAGUGAGACACGGCCCAGACUCCUACGGGAGGCAGCAGUAGGGAAUCUUCCGCAAUGGACGAAAGUCUGACGGAGCAACGCCGCGUGGGUGAUGAAGGCUUUCGGGUCGUAAAACUCUGUUGUUAGGGAAGAACAAGUGCUAGUUGAAUAAGCUGACACCUUGACGGUACCUAACCAGAAAGCCACGGCUAACUACGUGCCAGCCGCCGCGGUAA